UCCGGUGGCGAUACGCCCAGGGGUCACACCCGUACCCAUCCCGAACACGAUGGUUAAGACCUGGGAGGCCGAUGAUACUAUGCUGGAGACGGCAUGGGAAAGCAGGUGGCUGCCGGGA
rfam:Blautia sp. YL58, complete genome.